GUUCCCCAUAGUGUCCCUUCAGAGGACGCAGUUCGAAGUUCCCUUGACAGGGAAUCAGAACAAACAUAAUUCAGAAAGCAAGUACCGGCAUAACUGAUAACAGUUUUUGAAAGAUGAACAAUGUAAAUCAGUAGGGGAUUUUCAAACUCUAAUGUUACAUUAACAUUUUCAAGAUGAAGAAACAAGGAAAAGAAGAAUGAAGUAGAAAUAGAAAUAAGUAGAAAUAAACAAAAUUUUUGAAUAUUAGACGGACGUUUACUUUUUUGAUAUUGUAUUUCAGAAUGAAAGAUGAAAUUUUAAAAAGGUGCAGCUUGGUUUUUUGUUUAUGAGAAUGACAAUGAGAAGACACUCUCUUAAUUAUUCAUGACACCACGUGGAUCUUUCCAACAACAGACAUGUCAAGCAAGCUGUGAUAUCGCGCAGUAGAUGAGUGAGGCGAUCAUGGGACGCAAGUGUUUGUUUUCGUGGUGCAAAAGUUCAAAUGGGUUGCAUAUGUUUCCCCGCGAUGCUGCCAGGGCUAAACUCUGGCUGAGGGCGGUUGGUUGGCCAUCAACCACGGACACAUCCAGAUUAUAUGUGUGCAGCAAACAUUUUUCGAGAGAGAGCUUCGAGAAUUGGAGAAUGGUGGACUUUGGCCUCGUUGACUAACAAUGCAAGUUGCGUCUUGUGAUUGAUGCGGUGCCAAGUCCCGAGGACUUUUCUAUCCUUUCAGAGGUAUGUGUGUGUCUAAAAUUUUAACCUGAUCGUUUUACUUUCCUUUUGUUAAAUAAGCGCUCAUUAUUAAAAGAUUUUAUAUUUCGAUAGUACCUCAAUUGUAUGCUUAAUUUGUGUAAUUAAUUUUGUAAUAUAUUUAAAUAUGUUUGGGAAAUAUGUCUUUGGAAAUUAAUAUGUUUGUAUUGUCAGCCUAAACUGUGUUGCGAGAUGGCGUGUCAGACCGAACAGCCUGCCAAAAAAGAUGCUGCAUGUCAAACCCAUCCCGAUAUGAAGCAUAUGUCAACGCAACAUCGCUGGAAACCUGAACGAAGGCACUCAGGUGAAGCAACAGAAAAGGCAUGUUGGUUGCAACACUUCCACACCAUUCAUACCACUAGAGAAAGGUCCUCUUGCAACCUCUACCCCCUUGAAAAGGCCCAGAAGAGAGGCUGAGGAUUCUGAUUGUAGUUUCUAACCAGGAAUGACUUACAGCAACAUCUAUAAUGAGAGCACUGUAAUUGCAACACCACCCCAUAUAAUGAGGAAAUGCAUUGUUUAUGAGGAAAACCGCAUGGACCUGUUCAAGAAUUACCCUGCCUGCUCAAGACACUGUGCAAUAAAGAGCAGAACAGUGGGUACAGUUCUACAUGUGGACCAGACCUGUGUUCAUUGUGAACAUCACAAACAGUGGGCCAGCCAACCGUAUGUCAAGAACAUACCAGCUGGAAAUCUGCAGCUUGCUGCUGCUGUGCUCUCUAGUGGCUCAUCCUUCUUGCAAGUCGCCAAGUUUAUGCAGGCAUUCAACAUUCAGGGGAUUUGCCACACUACAUACCUGAAACACCAAAGGACAUUCCUAUUCCCAACAAUCAAUUGGCAGUGGAAACAGCAUCAAAAUACUGUGAUUGCAGAAGCACUCAAAGGAAGGAAUGUAGUUCUGGGUGGGGACAUGCGUGCUGACUUACCUGGACACAGUGCAAAGUAUGGAACAUACUCGCUGAUGGACCUCAGAGCAAACAAGAUCAUGGAAAUUCAGCUCAUUCAGAAGAAAACUGUCUGGAUUUUAAUCAUUGAGAAGACAAAAUGAAAAUCUUUGAACUAUUACGAGGAAGUUAUGGAAAAGACUGUGUCAAAGCCCUCCGCCGCUUAGAGAGGCUGGAAAAAACAAUGGCACGCCAUAAGAACCACCUAAGAUUCAACCUCCGAUGUCGAGAUGAGGAUAUUACACCAGCAAGCCUCAAUUUAAGGACCCUAUUCACACUAAAAAUGCGGAAAAAAUAAUCAAAAGAGCCCGAAAAGACCUCGUGAAACAGAGGAUAAGAACGACUGUAAGAUCGAAAGAAUCACAGAACAAACAAAAGUAGAGAAGGACAAAUUCAAAGGUUUUUUCCAUAUAGAUCAUGACACGCAAACUAAAAUAGACGAACACCUGGAUACCACAUACGAACAAGAGUUCAAAAAAACUAAAAUCCAACAGUUAAAUAAACUUCAAAAGCUGAAAGAGAAAGAGAAAGAGAAAGAAUGCAAACAAUAAAACAUGCAUGGAAACAAAUGAAACGUGGGUACGGAAUUUGUCACAACGCACACUCACGGAAACCGAAAAAAGAAUUUUAACACGAGGUUUAAACUUUGCCAUUACGCGAAAAAAUAUACCACACGAGGAGUACAUACUAGCAACAGAAUUGGCAUGUCAAAAAAUCCAAGACCAGGGACAAAAAUCUGAGCUACGCAACACCAUUUUAAAAACCGCAAAAUUACCAACAAGCAACAUCACAAAAGAGGAAAGAAAAGCAAUAACCACACUCAAAAAGGAUAAAACUAUCACCAUCAUACCAGCGAACAAAGGACGUACAACAGUUGUCAUGGACACGGACAAAUAUGAAAAACAGAUGUAAGCACUGCUAAAAGACAACAAUACAUAUGAAAUACUAAAAAAGGACCCUACUGAAGAAAAGAAAAAAAAAGCAUUAAAAGCACUUCUCAAACCAUUACAAGAAAACAGAAAAAUAACAAAGGAAGCAUAUGACAAUCUAAUUCACACAGCAAACAUUAUGCCACGAAUAUAUGGAACACCAAAAAUACACAAAAAUGGCAUCCCAUUACGCCCAAUAGUAGACAGUAUCGGCUCGGUCACUUACAACUUAUCAAAAGCAUUAGUGGAAAUUAUAAAACCCCUCCUCGGCCUAACAGAGCAUCACUGUCAAAACUCAAAACAACUAGUGAAAGAACUCAACAACAUGAAAAUAGAAUCAGAUGAAAUUUUAAUUUCACACGAUGUCAUAUAACUUUUCACAAAGACCGCCGUGGAUGUAACACUUCACAUCGUACAAGAACGACUCCAGAAAGACAGGACACUUAAAAGACGCACAAACCUCACAGUCGAUGAUAUAACUGAACUACUGAGCUUCGUCACAAAAUCCACAUAUUUCCAAUAUAGAGGGACAAUAUUCAGACAAAAAGAGGGAUUCGCCAUGGGGGACCCACUAUCAGCCAUAAUGAGUAGUUUUUUCAUGGAGGACUUGGAAACUACUGCCAUAGCCACAGCACCAUCGCACUGCAGACCAACCCUCUGGACACGUUAUGUAGGCGACAUACUGGAAAAAAUAAAAAACGGACAUACACAGGAACUCACUGACCACCUGAACAGUAUUGACCCCACCGGAAACAUAAAAUUCUGCAACAGAACCAUAGCUUUUUUAGAUUUAAAGAUCCACCACAGAGAUGAUGACAGCAUCAAAAUAAGAGUCUACAGGAAACCAACACACACUGACCAAUAUCUACUUUGGACAUCUGAACAUCCCACGGCGCAUAAAUUAUCAGUAGUGAGAACACUUUAUGAACGGACUAGUUUCAUCACGGAGGAAAAAGACAGAAAGAAAGAGGAAAAACAUAUCAGACAUGCACUUGCAUGCUGCAAAUAUCCGAUAUGGGCCAUAAACAAAGGAAAAGAACAAUUCGCAAACAAGCAAACCAAAUCAAAAACAAAACCCAAAUCGAAACCACAAACCGGAAACAAGGACAUAGUAACCCUACCAUAUAUCAGAGGCAUAACAGAACCAUUACAGCGGGCAAUGAGAAAAUACAACAUAAACACAGUAGUAAAACCAUACACAAAGUUAAGGCAGUUACUGGUACACCCCAAGGACAAAAUAGAGCAAGACAAAAAAUGUAAUGUCAUAUACGAGAUACCAUGCAAAUCAUGCAAUAAAACAUACGUAGGAGAAACAGGCAGGUCAUUCAACACAAGAAAGAAAGAAUAUCAGAAAGAAUGUGAAAAAGAAACAACAGGACGACUAACUAGAACUCAAAAGGAAAAAGCGCAACAGGAACAACUAAAAUCAGCUAUAUCAGAUCAUUGCAAACGAAACAACCACAUUAUGGACUAGGACAACGGACACAUUAUCAGAUCAGAACCAAACAGAUACAGAAGAUGGAUAAAGGAGGCAAUUGAAAUCAGGAACCGGGAUGAGGGAGCCUACAUGCUCUCACACACAUAGAACACCAUCCUCCAGAGACCAACGAGCGACGGGGGGGCAGGGCGUGGCCAGCCCGGCGGAACUGUCAUGUCCGCUGGGUUGGCCACACCCAGAAAAUAACAGCUGAUAAACGACACGUCACAGCUGUCAGAUGACGCUUCUGAGGAAGGCUGCAGGUUGCAGUCGAAACAUGUCAAGAAUAUGUUGACAGAUUGCAGGAUCUGCUUUUUGAAAGUGUGUUGGAGCAGCCACAACUGUUUCAGGAACCUCUAAAAGGACUGCAAGUUCCUGACCACCUCUGCACACAGUUUCAAAGACCUGAAAAGAGUGAAGCUGUUGCACAACAAACGUCACGAUUUAGACCACCUUCUGUCUGUCUGUGAUCUAAAGUAAAUAAACAAAUUACAUGGAAAAAUUGAAAUGAUAAGUUCUUUAUUUUAGUCAAGGGGAGGGGGUUGAAAACCUGAAUAGGUUCCAGUGUUGUCAGGGAACUGCUCUUUGAUGCUGGUAACAGCACACGAGGGAAUCACCACCCUAAUGUGUCGGCCAAGGUACCCCUAGCACCACCGGACAAAAAUCCUAUAGGCCAGGUGUCUGUAGAAACUGAGAUUGAAACUAUAGUUUAACUUGUUAUGGAUCAUUACAUAAAAUACUAAAAUGCUACCUGUACUGUAAAUGUAUGUUAAUCGGAAAUUAUAAGUUUAGUUAACACCAAGUAAGAAUGUUACUAACCUAUUGAGGACUGUGUUCUCCAUGUCACCAUAGAGCUGGCGAUAUGUAACAUAAACAGCUUGCAAAACAAAUGUGUUUAGGGCGACAGGUUC